GAGAGAGAGAGAGAGAGAGAGGGGGAGCGAGACCUCCGCUGGCCCCGCGAACUUGUCAAGCAGAAGAGUGACCAAGUGGUCUUCUCCACAGCAGCCAUGAACUUCAACCUUGAACUGAAGAAGACUCAUCAAAUGGAGUUUUAGAGUGGUCAUUAUACUUUUCCAAUUUAUUUCCUUCCUUCAUUCUGGAAUCCAGCAACAAAUAAACCCCUCUGAUUUCAAGUUUGCCUUUUAACUGAGAAAUACACAAGUUAAAAAUGUAAUGCAAUAUCAAUAGAAAGGGUAAACAGAGCAUUGUGGAUGCUAUUUAUAGAAAAUAAACUGGGUUUUGCAUAUUAUUAAAAACUAUUCCCUAAUUUGGGAUAUUGGAAUCCAGGCAGUAAGAUUAGGAUUUUAAGGUGAUGCUUUAAAAAUCACUAUGCUUAAUCUAAAAAAAAAAAAAAAUAAAUCAAAAAACCAACCAACCCAACUGAAAAACCCACAAAAGUGCAGGUAUGCUGAAUAGACUGAUUAGACUUGAUGUGGCUGUUUUAUAGAGCUGUGUAUCAUUGAACUUUUUUUAAGCCUUAGGAAAGACAGUAUGGAGCUGGAAGAGAAGCAGGGAUCUUCAUGAAGGGCAGUCAGUUAUAGUUAUGGUGUGUGGAGGAACAGGUCCUGUUCUUGCUGUUGUUACUCCCACAUAGGCAGACUCUGUAAUUGAUUAUGUGUGGGUAGGGCCCUAUUGAAAUUCAGGAGAUUCUGCAGUAGUGUGGGGUUCUUAUUGUGAAAGUUCAGUUGCAAGAUCAGGACCCUACUGUGACUACUUACUGUGCGUUCUGUCACUGUCUCAUUGAUUGUACUGGAACCUGCCUAUUGGGAUAAUUACCAAAUACUAUAUUCCUCAAAACUUCUUAAUGGCACUGAGGCUUUGUGGAUAGUUGGUCACAUGAUGAGAAAAUUCAGCUGUGAUUCACCAUGGGACCCUGAAGUUCUUCCUUACUGCAAUUAGACUGCCGGAGUUCAUGAUUCCUGAGAAGUAACACCUUGAAGUUCUGGCACUAUCUUCUACAAAGUAGCUUACACUGAGCUGGCUUCCUGUUACUGUGUCAAUGAAACAUCAAAUGUUGAUACUAUGUGUGAAACAACAUUUGAUAUUAUGGCUAUUAAGCUACUUGAAAAAAUUCUAUACAGAUGGUUUUUAUGUUUACAAGACCUUGCAUUUAAAAAUGUAUGUCAUGGAUGCAGGUAAUAAAUAUUGUUUAUGAAUUGUUACAGGAUAGAAAAUACUUAUAAUUGUGUAAAAUAUGUUAGUCUUAGCUCUUGCUAUUUUUAUCUCCUAAAUAUCUUAUAAUAAGGUGGUUAUAAAUAUCUAAAGAUAUGAAUCAUUUAAUUUGUUGAAGCACAGUGUGCGUCAUUUAGAAUGGUGGUAAAGGAGAAAAGUGGACAUGCCCUUCUCAUAACAGCUAAACAUGAAAAGAAGUUAUCAGAGAUAAUGAUAUAAUUCAAAUUUAUAGAAAUUGUUAUGUUUUGCUGUAUAAGCAUAGCUCUUUACAAAAUGAUGAUCUCAUCCUAAGGUUACAGUUACCUAAAUAGAUUCAUUGCUGAACUUUAUUCUAGUGUUUUUAUAUCUUUGCUGGAAGUAAGAGAACACAAACAUUUAAAAUUUAAAUUAUUGAUCUUCAGCCAUGCUACAACUUUCAGAACUUAGUGUUUAACCCCAGGAUUUGAUCCAUAGCUCUUUUAAAUUCUGGAAUUCCAGAAACUGUUCAGGUGAGUAGGAAAAAGCAUAGAAAGAAACUGAAAUGGGGAGAAGGAAAUCAUUAUCCUUUACAAAAGAAAAGAUGAAAAAAAGUUAAUGAGCAUAGGAAAAAUAAUAGGGUGAAAGAGAGGAUUCAGGUGAGUACUUCCAGUAAUAUUUUUUAUAUUGUGCUCAGAUAUGUUAUGCUUUGUGCUUACAUGGAAAACAGACUGAGACUUCAGCUUUCUAACUGCUGUUCUGAGCUGUACUUUACUCCCUGUGCAUUUUUAUUUUAGCACAGUCGCUUCUAAGGAAGGCUUUAAAUUGGCUUUCAGGGCCAACCUGAAUCACACAGUUCAUUAUCCUGCUGAAAUGAUGACUACCCCAAUGUUUGUCUUCCCAAGUUAGUAUUAAAAACCUGCUAUUAGACAUGAAAAAAAUCAGAGCCAUUUUAAAAAUAUAUGUUACUCUUAAUUCUAGUCACUAGCAUUUGGGAAAAGGGACAAGCAGGCACUCAGUAACAGUAAAGAGUGUCAGAAUUUCUAUGGGAAACCUAAUUGUAAUAAUAUUGAAAUUGAAAAUAAAACCUGCUAAUUAGAUGUUACUCAGCAGGAUUAGGAAAAGUCAAUCAAUUCAUAACCAAAUGUAGCUGUAGAACAAUGGAUUACUUACCUUGGCACUCAUUACAGGUUAGACAUCAGUGUGGAUUUCAUCCAUAAGCUGUAAUAAAAUAAAAUAAGUUAGGAAAUUGCAAAAAAAAAAGGUUCAUUCAGUAAUUUGUCCAUAGAUGUUCUUAGUUUCUGCAUGAUUUCCAUAAGUAUAUACAGUAUUAUAGCAAGAGUAUAUAUUUAGGGAAAUCCUAUACUUUUUAAACUAAGCAAUUAACAAAUAUUCAUACAGUGACUAUAACUGGUUUCAUGAAUUACCACGCAAAAAACCCAUUUUACUACAGGGAUAAGGAUCUCCCAUUUUUUGUACAUUCAUGCAGUGGUAUGCAUAAAACAUUUUAACUGUUCACCUGAGCAACACUUCAGUGUAACUGAGCCCUGAGCUGGUGGAUGGCAGAAUAACAUCCUCUCUAAAAGGGGACAGAGAGUGAAAAUGGGUGGGGCAGGGAGAGGUCUUAUGGUGCCAGUUCACAAUUAAUUUUGGAAUGUAAAGAUAUGAAUACCAAAAAAUUAACAUAACUAUACUCUUCAGUUUAAAAAGAAAAUGAAAUUAAAUACAGAUAGAAUUUUUAGAAGUUCUAAAUAAGAGACUUUUUGGUCUAUUUUAUGGUUAAGCCCUUGCCAUUUUGUUGUUUUGUAUUCAUGUUACACUAUUUAAUGUUGCAUGAUUGGUUUAGAUCAUGUAAAUCCCAUUUCAAGUAUAUUUAAAUUUUAAAGACGUCUUUUUAAUUGCAUUGUAACUGGCAACUCUGUGUUGUCCUCAUGUAAUAGGCAGUAUCAAGAUGAGUGUAUUCUGAAAUAGUUAAUAGUGGAAGACCACUCCAAUCCCAGCACUAUGUCUCUCAGAUUUUCCAUAUUGACAAGGAAGAACCAACAGUGAGUGGUCCAUUUGGUACCUUCCAGCCCCCAGAUCACUGCCCAGGAGGAAAGUCACUUUCCCAUUCCCUUCUCUGAUCAUUUAUGCUUUGGUACUGCUGUUCUGUAAGGACACAGUCUUGGCUUUGCAUCUGGGCUGGCAAGCUGGUGAAGGUGGUAUGAAGAGGUUGUUUCCACAGACCAGUUCCACACUGAAGUUUCCUGCACACACUGGGCUGUAUACCAACUUUAAAACCAGACCUUCCCCAUGACUCUUUUAUUUAAUUAUAGUUAGUUUAAAAUAACUAUUAUGUCUCCAUGACCAUGACAUUGGAUUUCAGCAUUUUUUCACAGCAGUAUUUACUGUAUUUAGUAACAAAUUACUGAAAUAUCAGCCAUGCUAUUUUAAGAAUGAGUUAAAUGUGAUAUUUAAUUAAUUGUGUCUUAAAGUUUGGAAUAGAGAAUCCCAGUAAUAUUAAGCUUAAAUUUUUAAUUACAGCAGAUAAACUUAAAGCCCAAUAGUAUAUAAUUAGUUCUAACAGAAAAGCAAACUUCCUUUUAUUUGGGUCAGACUUAAUUUUUGUGCUCAGUGUAGUGCACACAAGUACUGCUCAGUAAUAAAAAAUAUUAUGCAGCACAGACCUAUUACAUGUUCUGUGCAGAUGAAAGUCAUUAGUAAAGUUUCCUUGUUCAGAUUAAAGGAAGUUGAAAAUAUGCUGAAUCACUUAUUAUUUUAAUCCAGAUGUUUUUAUCCAUAAAUAUUAAUCUCAAAGAUAAAAUGCUAGCUUAAUAAAUACUAGUAAACUUCACAAAAUUAAUUACAUUUUAAAUAUGUGAUUCAGAGUCUAGUAUUCAAAUCUUAGGAUGGGAUGAAUCGCCCUCUGGAGGUGCCCAUUUUAGUUUGCUGACUUCACAGGACUCCUGCUCUGAAGUGACUAGUUCAAACUAAAAGUUGACUGGCCUAUCACCUUCAUUGAGAAAUAACUGAACAUUUCGUACCCCAGUAGAUCUUGUCGUUAGACCUCUCUAAGAAUGGCUGCCUUAUUCCUCACCUUUUCUGUCAGUGUUCUUGUACUGUUUCUAAUAUGAAUAAACACAAGUGUUACUGCUACCAUUUCCUGUAUAUUGUUUUUUCCUGUCCUUUUCAAUCUUGUUAUCUUAUCUUUCCCUGUUUUUUUUUUCUUUUUUUUUUUUUUUGUUUUAUUUUUCUUGACUCUCUACAGCUGCCAUCUUUUCUGAAGCUUUUCAUUUGCUACCUCUCUGACAAUCCUACUUUCCAUGUUGAAAGUAUUAUCCUAACUUCUGAUGUGGAAGAUUGCCGGCCCUUUCUUUGAAUGCUGAUACCAGUAUUUUCUUGACUAAUAGUAUUGUAAUGAAGACAUAGAAAAAGAAGACUAUGGUACUCAUGAGGUUUUUUAUGGUUUGUGUAGUCAAAAAAUAUUGUUUUUAUGCCUUCAUAUAAAAUGUGUUGGUUUCCCAAUGUAACUGUAACUUAAAGAUGUUUGUAGAAAUGUAAAAUUAAAUGUGAAUAGUAUAAAAUCCACAUUAAAGACA
ensembl:lncRNA